CCAGGGAAGCGCCCGGAGAACCUCAACACCUCGGUACACAUUUACAACCUCAAAUAUCGUAAAAGAUAAAAAAAAAAAAUUUUCUAUACUAAAUUAAUAUAAAUUUAUCAUUUGUUUAUCAUAAUUAUUUAUUGAUUUUUUUGUUUUAUCAAUUAAAUGAUAAAAAAAAAAAUAGAAAAUCAAUAAUUUAUACAAAUUUUUUAUAAAGUAUUACAUAAAAAUUAAUGUGAUUUUUAUUUUUUAAAUAAUGAUAUAAAAUUCAUUAUAAAAAAUUUAUUAAUUUAUAUUUUUAUUAUUACAUUUAUUAAAUAUUUUUAUAUUUAAAUUUUUUUUUAACAAGUUUAGUGAUAAAGUGGUGUUAGUGAAUUAAAUAAUUGUUGGAAAUAUUGUGAAGAUACCUAUAUAUAUAUUUUAAAAUUAAGUAACACAAAAAAAAAAAAAUAAAAUAAUAGGAAAAUACAAGCUUAAAUAUAUUUUUACUUGUUUUGCAAAAAAGUGAAACAUUUUACUUGAGGGUUACCGAUACUAUGGAAACAGUGGAAUGGGGGGCGGCGGAGGGCUAAAUGCCAAAAAUCUCCGGCGACGUAAUAGCGUCACAGAAUUUUGUAAAAAUAAUGAUAAUUUAAUUUUUAAAACAAAUGUAAUUGACAAUGAUGUGUCAAAUGAGUAUAAUGAAAAUGACAGAUUGUGUAUUGAGGCGACAGUCGGUAUUAAUUCCGGCCAGCCUACCUGCAUUGUUGGAAUUGGUAUACGUGAAAAAUGUAAAUCAAUUGAGAGUGAGAGUGAAACAUGGAAUAAUAUAUUGGAAAAUAAAUUGGAAGAUCGAUGUAAACAAAGAAGAAGACGUGGUAGACGACGAAAGAGGAGAAUUCAAACACAUAAAUUUGAUGUUAAUACGAUGAGAAAUAAUAUUACAAAUGAUGAUCACUGGAUUGAUCAUAAUAAUAGUGAUAAUGUUUUAUUAAUUAAAAAAAAACAAACAACUAUUUGUCAAUAUUAUUAUAAAUGUAUGAAAAAAAUUACGGAAAUGGCUGUUGGUACACUUUUACUUAGUGCUGUUCUUUUAGUUACACCAGGCUUUUGUCAUCAGGAUGCAGUUCAUAUAACAGCAAUUCUAGGUGAAAGUGUUGUCUUCAAUUGUCACGUUGAGUUCCCUGGUGAGCAUCCAGUGCCAUAUGUUCUCCAAUGGGAGAAGAAGGUAGGCGACACGGAGAUACCAAUAUACAUAUGGUAUGAAUCGUAUCCAACGCACAGUGGUGAUGGUUACGAGGGACGUGUAUCCAGAGUUGGACCAAAUUCACCAUACGGUGUUGCCAGUCUUAAUCUUACAAAUAUUCGUGAAAGUGAUCAAGGAUGGUACGAGUGUAAAGUUGUAUUUCUCAAUAGAUCACCAAAUAGUCCAAAAAAUGGCACAUGGUUUCAUCUAGAUGUUCAUGCACCACCAAGAUUCAGCAUGACACCAGAAGAAAUGAUUUAUGUAAAUGUUGGUGAUGCAAUUAUUCUAAAUUGCCAGGCAGAAGGUACACCAACACCUGAAAUUGUCUGGUAUAAAGAUGCAAAUCCCGUGUCAACUUCACCGACUAUUGGAAUUUUUAAUGAGGGUACAGAAUUAAGAAUAGCUUCAAUUAAAAAUGAGGACAUUGGUGAUUAUACUUGUAUUGCUAGAAAUGGUGAAGGACAAAUAAGUCAUUCUGCUCGUGUUGUUAUUGCUGGUGGUGCAGUUAUAAUGGUACCACCAACAAAUCAAACAAAACUAGAAGGUGAAAGAGUACAAUUUCCAUGUGAAGCAAAAGCAUUACCAGGAAAUGUAACAGUACGUUGGUUUCGUGAAGGUGCACCAGUAACUGAAGUAUCUGAACUUGAUACUCGUGUUUCAAUUAAAAAAGAUGGUAGUCUAGUUAUAAAUCCAGUCAGUGCUGAUGACACUGGACAAUAUCUUUGUGAAGUUACUAAUGGAAUUGGCGAGCCACAAAGUGCCAGUGCCUAUCUCAACGUCGAAUAUCCAGCCAAAGUUACAUUUACACCAACUAUUCAAUAUUUGCCAUUUAGAUUGGCUGGUGUUGUACAGUGUUAUAUAAAAGCAAAUCCACCACUACAGUAUGUUACAUGGACAAAGGAUAAACGUCUUUUAGAACCAUAUCAAACUAAAGAUAUUGUUAUAAUGAAUAAUGGAUCAUUAUUAUUUACAAGAGUUAAUGAAAAUCAUCAGGGUAAAUAUACAUGUACACCAUAUAAUGCACAUGGUACACAUGGUGGUUCUGGUCCAAUGGAUGUACUUGUUAGAAAUCCACCAGUAUUUACACUUGAACCAGAACCAAUGUAUCAACGUAAAAUUGGUGAAACAGUUGAUAUGGUUUGUGAUGCACAAGAAGCUGAGGGUACUGAAAAACCAACAAUACAAUGGCAAAGAAGAAAUGGUGUACCACUUGAACGUAAUCGUGGUAAAAUUACUGGUGGUAAUUUAACAAUUGAUGGAUUACGACGUAAUGAUUUUGGUUAUUAUCAGUGUGUUGCAUGGAAUGAGGUUGCAACAAUUAUCUCAGCAACUCAAUUAAUUGUUGAGGGUUCUCAGCCACAUGCACCUCACAAUGUAACUGGUAUAUCAACACAAUUUUCUGUAACAUUACAAUGGUUACCUGGUUAUUCUGGUGGUCCAGAUUAUAAACAAGAUUAUACUGUUUGGUAUCGUGAAGCUGGUACAUCAGCAUGGACAACAAAUCCAGUAACACCAUCUGGUUCAACAUUUGUUACAAUUAAUAAUUUAUCACCUGGUACAUUAUAUGAAUUUCAAGUUGUUGGUAAAAAUGCAAUAAGUGAUGGUAUGCUUAGUAAAGUUACAACAAUUAGAACACUUGAUGUUGGUAUUAAUCCACCAUCAAUAACAACACCAAAAAGUAUUAGUGUUAAAGCUGCUGAAAAUACUGGACCAAAACCAGGGCCACCAAGAAAUUUAACUGUAACUGAAGUACCAAAUGGUUUUCUUAUAACUUGGCAGCAUCCAUUAGAAAAAAGUCAUUUAAUUGAAUAUUAUGAUAUUAAAUAUAAAACUGAUGGAGCAUGGAAAACACUUAACAAAGGACAUAUUCGAUCAGAAGAAACUAGUUAUCUAGUUAAAAAUUUAGUUGGUGGAAGAACAUAUUAUUUUCAAGUAUUUGCCCAUUCAUCAACAACUCCUGGUACCAGUGAAUUGGUGAAAUUUCCAGUACCAGCUCGUGUUAAACACAAAGCCAUCACUGCUGGGGUUGUAGGUGGCAUACUAUUUUUCAUUGUUGCAAUUAUUCUCAGUAUAUGUGCUGUUAAAAUAUGUAAUAAACGGAAGCGACGAAAACAGGAAAAAGAAUUAUUAUCAGCGUAUAACUUGGUAGCCUGCAGGGUCACAGACGCUCGUAAUGGCGCAGGACAAGGACCCCAAGGAACAGUGCCUUUGAAAAAUUUCUUAAUUGUAGACGAUAUAGACCAAUAAAAAAACAAAAAAUUUAAAAAACAUAAAAAAAAAAAAAAAUAAUUGCAAUUAAUUAUACGUCCAUGAAUGUGAACAACUAAAAGUAGAAAUAGACAACAAAGCCGAGUACCAGGUCUAAGUCUUCUGCGUGACAUACUUAAUCCAGA
rnacentral:misc_RNA from 1 species